AGUAACGGGCCCUAGAGAGAAUUGAAGUGACAUGAAAAUAUCAGAAAUUCAGAGAACAACAACAUAAAAAGGAAGUUUCAUCUUCACUGAAUCACGCUGCCCAGUUAAGAAAGACAUUAUUAUUCCUAUACAUGAGCUGGGAAGUCCAAGUUCAAGAGGCCCACGUAUCUGGCGAGGAUCUUCUUGCUGCUUCAUUUCAUUGUGAAAGGAGGAAGGGCAAAAGAAGAUGGAUUUGGAGGAAGAUGCUACAUUCUGAAUCAUUCAAGGAAGGACCUUGACUGAACAAUAUAUCUGCAAACUAAGAAAAAAGGAAAAAAGAAAAAUAA
ensembl:lncRNA novel transcript